rnacentral:rRNA from 1 species
UCGCGGCGGUGUGCGCAGAAGGGUCUGGGCUCGAGCCUGCCUGGAGCCGCCGCCGGUGCAGAUCUUGGUGGUAGUAGCAAAUACUCCAGCGAGGCCCUGGAGGACUGAUGUGGAGAAGGGUUUCGUGUGAACAGCCGUUGCACACGAGUCAGUCGACCCUAAGCCCUAGGAGAAAUCCGAUAUAAACGGCGAUGGGAAACACACACUUGACUCUUGUCCGAAAAGACGAAAGCCCAUUGAUCGGGCGAAAGGGAAUCCGGUUCCUAUUCCGGAACCCGGCAGCGGAACCGUUGUUUGUCGGGCCCUCACAAGGGGUUCGUCAGGGCAACCUAAAAGGGCCCGGAGACGCCGUCGGGAGCCCCGGAAAGAGUUUUCUUUUCUGCAUGAGCGUUCGAGUUCCCUGGAAUCCUCUCGCAGGGAGAUAGGGUUUGGAACGCGAAGAGCACCGCAGUUGCGGCGGUGCCCGGGAAUUCCCGACGGACCUUGAAAAUCCGGGAGAGGGCCACGUGGAGGUGUCGCGCCGGCUCGUACCCAUAUCCGCAGCAGGUCUCCCAAGUGAAAAGNCUCUNGUC